rnacentral:rRNA from 1 species
UACGUAGGGGGCAAGCGUUGUCCGGAAUCAUUGGGCGUAAAGAGCGUGUAGGCGGCCAGAAAAGUCCGCUGUGAAAACUCGAGGCUCAACUUCGAGCUGUCGGUGGAAACUUUCUGGCUAGAGUCCGGAAGAGGAGAAUGGAAUUCCUGGUGUAGCGGUGAAAUGCGCAGAUAUCAGGAAGAACACCCCGUGGCGAAGGCGGUUCUCUGGGGACGGUACUGACGCUGAGGAGCGAAAGCGUGGGGAGCGAACAGG